rnacentral:rRNA from 1 species
GACGAACCGAGCGAACGUUGUUCGGAAUCACUGGGCUUAAAGGGCGCGUAGGCGGGUGCUCAAGUCUGUGGUGAAAUCCUCCGGCUCAACCGGAGAACUGCCAUGGAUACUGGGUGCCUCGAGGGUGGUAGGGGUAUGCGGAACUAUCGGUGGAGCGGUGAAAUGCGUAGAUAUCUGGAGGAACACCGGUGGCGAAGGCGGCAUCCUGGACCGGCAUUGACGCUGAGGCGCGAAAGCUAGGGGAGCAAACGGG